rnacentral:rRNA from 1 species
CCUACGGGAGGCAGCAGUGGGGAAUCUUGCGCAAUGGGCGAAAGCCUGACGCAGCCAUGCCGCGUGAAUGAUGAAGGUCUUAGGAUUGUAAAAUUCUUUCACCGGGGACGAUAAUGACGGUACCCGGAGAAGAAGCCCCGGCUAACUUCGUGCCAGCAGCCGCGGUAAUACGAAGGGGGCUAGCGUUGCUCGGAAUUACUGGGCGUAAAGGGAGCGUAGGCGGAUAGUUUAGUCAGAGGUGAAAGCCCAGGGCUCAACCUUGGAAUUGCCUUUGAUACUGGCUAUCUUGAGUAUGGGAGAGGUAUGCGGAACUCCGAGUGUAGAGGUGAAAUUCGUAGAUAUUCGGAAGAACACCAGUGGCGAAGGCGGCAUACUGGCCCAUUACUGACGCUGAGGCUCGAAAGCGUGGGGAGCAAACAGGAUUAGAUACCCUGGUAGUCCACGCUGUAAACGAUGAGUGCUAGUUGUCGGCAUGCAUGCAUGUCGGUGACGCGAGCUACGACAUUAAGACGACUCCGCCGUCGGGGAGGUACGGUCGGCGAAGAAGUUAAACUUAACAAAUAAGUUAAGUUAGUACGGCGUUGAGACGUUAGCCGACGGACGACCGACCGACGGGGAAGGUUAAGGGAGG